UACAGAGGUCUCAAGCGUUGUUCGGAUUCAUUGGGCGUAAAGGGUGCGUAGGCGGCGUGGUAAGUCGGGUGUGAAAUCUCGGAGCUUAACUCCGAAACUGCAUUCGAUACUGCCGUGCUUGAGGACUGGAGAGGAGACUGGAAUUUACGGUGUAGCGGUGAAAUGCGUAGAGAUCAUGAGGAAGACCAGUGGCGAAGGCGGGUCUCUGGGCCGAUACUGACGCUGAGGAGCGAAAGCGUGGGGAGCGAACAGG
rnacentral:rRNA from 1 species